GGGAAACUGCCUGAUGGAGGGGGAUAACUACUGGAAACGGUAGCUAAUACCGCAUAACGUCGCAAGACCAAAGAGGGGGACCUUCGGGCCUCUUGCCAUCAGAUGUGCCCAGAUGGGAUUAGCUAGUAGGUGGGGUAACGGCUCACCUAGGCGACGAUCCCUAGCUGGUCUGAGAGGAUGACCAGCCACACUGGAACUGAGACACGGUCCAGACUCCUACGGGAGGCAGCAGUGGGGAAUAUUGCACAAUGGGCGCAAGCCUGAUGCAGCCAUGCCGCGUGUAUGAAGAAGGCCUUCGGGUUGUAAAGUACUUUCAGCGGGGAGGAAGGUGUUGAGGUUAAUAACCUCAGCAAUUGACGUUACCCGCAGAAGAAGCACCGGCUAACUCCGUGCCAGCAGCCGCGGUAAUACGGAGGGUGCAAGCGCUAAUCGGAAUUACUGGGCGUAAAGCGCACGCAGGCGGUCUGUCAAGUCGGAUGUGAAAUCCCCGGGCUCAACCUGGGAACUGCAUUCGAAACUGGCAGGCUAGAGUCUUGUAGAGGGGGGUAGAAUUCCAGGU
rnacentral:rRNA from 1 species